rnacentral:rRNA from 1 species
AGAUUGAACGCUGGCGGCGUGCCUAACACAUGCAAGUCGAGCGGUAACAGGUGUAGCAAUACAUGCUGACGAGCGGCGAACGGGUGAGUAAUGCUUUGGAAUCUUCCCAGUAGUGGGGAAUAACCAGUCGAAAGAUUGGCUAAUACCGCAUACGUCUGUAAAGGGAAAGCGGGGGCUCGUAAGACCUCGCGCUAUUGGAUGAGCCAAAGUCGGAUUAGCUUGUUGGUGGGGUAAUGGCCUACCAAGGCGACAAUCCGUAGCUGGUCUGAGAGGACGACCAGCCACACCGGAACUGAGACACGGUCCGGACUCCUACGGGAGGCAGCAGUGGGGAAUAUUGGACAAUGGGGGAAACCCUGAUCCAGCGACGCCGCGUGUGUGAAGAAGGCCUGCGGGUUGUAAAGCACUUUUAGUGGGGACAAAAAGCUACGGAUUAAUACUCUGUGGUCUUGAUUUAACCCAAAGAAAAGCACCGGCUAACUCUGUGCCAGCAGCCGC